GACAGAGGGUGCAAGCGUUAAUCGGAAUUACUGGGCGUAAAGCGUGCGCAGGCGGUUAUGUAAGACAGAUGUGAAAUGCCCGGGCUUAACCUGGGAACUGCAUUUGUGACUGCAUGGCUAGAGUUUGGCAGAGGGGGGUAGAAUUCCACGUGUAGCAGUGAAAUGCGUAGAUAUGUGGAGGAACACCGAUGGCGAAGGCAGCCCCCUGGGUCAAGACUGACGCUCAUGCACGAAAGCGUGGGGAGCAAACAGG
rnacentral:rRNA from 1 species